rnacentral:rRNA from 1 species
CCUACGGGAUGCAGCAGUGGGGGAUAUUGCACAAUGGGGGAAACCCUGAUGCAGCGACGCCGCGUGUGGGAAGACGGUCCUCUGGAUUGUAAACCACUGUUCCCAGGGACGAAGAUGACGGUACCUGGGGAGGAAGCUCCGGCUAACUACGUGCCAGUAGCCGCGGUAAUACGUAGGAAGCGAGCGUUGUCCGGAAUUACGGGGGGUAAAGGGAGCGUAGGCGGUGAUGCAAGUUGGGGGGAAAAACUACCGGCUCAACUGGUAGUCGCACUCAAAACUGCAGCUCUUGAGUGAAGUAGAGGCAGGCGGAAUGCGGAGUGUAGCGGUGAAAUGCGGAGAUAUUGGGAGGAACUCCGGUGGCGAAGGCGGCCUGCUGGGCUGUAACUGACGCUGAGGCACGAAAGUGUGGGGAGCAAACAGGAUUAGAUACCCCUGUAGUC